rnacentral:rRNA from 1 species
UGGGGAAUUUUGGACAAUGGGCGAAAGCCUGAUCCAGCAAUGCCGCGUGUGUGAAGAAGGCCUUCGGGUUGUAAAGCACUUUUGUCCGGAAAGAAAUCCUUGGCUCUAAUACAGUCGGGGGAUGACGGUACCGGAAGAAUAAGCACCGGCUAACUACGUGCCAGCAGCCGCGGUAAUACGUAGGGUGCAAGCGUUAAUCGGAAUUACUGGGCGUAAAGCGUGCGCAGGCGGUUUGCUAAGACCGAUGUGAAAUCCCCGGGCUCAACCUGGGAACUGCAUUGGUGACUGGCAGGCUAGAGUAUGGCAGAGGGGGUAGAAUUCCACGUGUAGCAGUGAAAUGCGUAGAGAUGUGGAGGAAUACCGAUGGCGAAGGCAGCCCCCUGGGCCAAAUACUGACGCUCAUGCACGAAAGCGUGGGGAGCAAACAGGAUUAGAUACCCUGGUAGUCCACGCCCUAAACGAUGUCAACUAGUUGUUGGGAUUCAUUUCCUUAGUAACGUAGCUAACGCGUGAAGUUGACCGCCUGGGGAGUACGGUCGCAAGAUUAAAACUCAAAGGAAUUGACGGGGUCAUAGCUGUUUCCU